UUCAUUUUUUGUGUUUAUUCCUUUAGGGCAAAUGAAUAUUCCCUAUUUUCUACUGGAGAUCCCCGUGAGAUUCAUGUAUAUCUUUAACAAAUUUCAAUAAUGUUGGAAGUACAUGAAACUUUGAAUGUACAUCCAUAAUUCUAGCUUGUUUUCUUCAUCAAUCUUACCAUAUUUCAAUAUUUGUUAAGGAUGUUGUUUAUUUUAUUUUAUUUUGUUCUUUUUUCUUGCUUUGGUG
rnacentral:misc_RNA from 1 species